ACGGAAGGCAGCAGUGGGGAAUACUGCACAAUGGGGGAAACCCUGAUGCAGCGACGCCGCGUGAGCGAAGAAGUAUCUCGGUAUGUAAAGCUCUAUCAGCAGGGAAGAAAAUGACGGUACCUGACUAAGAAGCACCGGCUAAAUACGUGCCAGCAGCCGCGGUAAUACGUAGGGGGCAAGCGUUAUCCGGAUUUACUGGGUGUAAAGGGAGCGUAGGCGGUCUGACAGGUCAGAAGUGAAAGCCCGGGGCUUAACCUCGGGACUGCUUUUGAAACUGCCGGACUAGAUUGCAGGAGAGGUAAGUGGAAUUCCUAGUGUAGCGGUGAAAUGCGUAGAUAUUAGGAUGAACACCAGUGGCGAAGGCGACUUUCUGGACAGUAACUGACGUUGAGGCACGAAAGUGUGGGGAGCAAACAGGAUUAGAUACCCUGGUA
rnacentral:rRNA from 2 species